rnacentral:rRNA from 1 species
GAUCCUGGCUCAGGAUGAACGCUAGCUACAGGCUUAACGCAUGCAAGUCGAGGGGAAACGACAUCGAAAGCUUGCUUUUGAUGGGCGUCGACCGGCGCACGGGUGAGUAACGCGUAUCCAACCUGCCCCAUCACUUGGGGAAUAACCUUGCGAAAGUAAGACUAAUGCCCAAUGAUAUCUCUAGAAGACAUCUGAAAGAGAUUAAAGAUUCAUCGGUGAUGGAUGGGGAUGCG